AUACUGUUAGUAUAAGUAUUAUUAUACUUCUUUUCCAAGGAAGUGAUCUAUUUUUAGACGGUAUA
rnacentral:tRNA from 1 species